rnacentral:rRNA from 1 species
CAAUAGCGUAUAUUAAAGUUGUUGCGGUUAAAAAGCUCGUAGUUGGAUUUCUGCCGAGGACGACCGGUCCGCCCUCCGGGUGAGUAUCUGGCUCGGCCUGGGCAUCUUCUUGGAGAACGUAGCUGCACUUGGCUGUGUGGUGCGGUAUUCAGGACUUUUACUUUGAGGAAAUUAGAGUGUUUCAAGCAGGCACACGCCUUGAAUACAUUAGCAUGGAAUAAUAAGAUAGGACCUCGGUUCUAUUUUGUUGGUUUCUAGAUCUGAGGUAAUGAUUAAUAGGGAUAGUUGGGGGCAUUCGUAUUUAACUGUCAGAGGUGAAAUUCUUGGAUUUGUCAAAGACGGACUACUGCGAAAGCAUUUGCCAAGGAUGUUUUCAUUGA